UACGUAGGGGGCUAGCGUUGUCCGGAAUCAUUGGGCGUAAAGCGCGUUGCAGGCGGUCCGGUAAGUCCGCUGUGAAAGUCGGGGGCUCAACCCUCGGAUGCCGGUGGAUACUGUCGGGCUUGAGUACGGAAGAGGCGAGUGGAAUUCCUGGUGUAGCGGUGAAAUGCGCAGAUAUCAGGAGGAACACCAAUUGCGAAGGCAGCUCGCUGGGACGUUACUGACGCUGAGACGCGAAAGCGUGGGGAGCGAACAGG
rnacentral:rRNA from 1 species